UCCAGCAGAAGUCAGCUGUCCAGACAAACCUGUUCCUGUGAUGGUGUUAAAUUGCUGGGAGAGCAGUGCUUUGUCUUCUUCACCCAGAGUUGCCUGUCUCACUGCUCUGAUGGCUUGUGGUGCUGGUGCAAGGCAGAACUGUGCUUCCUUGACAUUGUGCUAAGCAUUUGCUUUGGCUCUUGGUUCUAGUCUGGGAGCACUAACA